rnacentral:rRNA from 1 species
UACCAGACUCCUACGGGAGGCAGCAGUAGGGAAUUUUCGGCAAUGGGGGGAACCCUGACCGAGCAACGCCGCGUGAAGGAAGAAGGAAUUCGUUCUGUAAACUUCUGUUAUAAAGGAAGAAAGACGGAUGGAGGAAAUGGCAUCCGAGUGACGGUACUUUAUGAGAAAGCCACGGCUAACUACGUGCCAGCAGCCGCGGUAAUACGUAGGUGGCAAGCGUUAUCCGGAAUUAUUGGGCGUAAAGAGGGAGCAGGCGGCAGCAAAGGUCUGUGGUGAAAGACUGAAGCUUAACUUCAGUAAGCCAUAGAAACCGGGCAGCUAGAGUGCAGGAGAGGAUCGUGGAAUUCCAUGUGUAGCGGUGAAAUGCGUAGAUAUACGGAGGAACACCAGUGGCGAAGGCGGAUUGCUGGACAGUAACUGACGCUGAGGCGCGAAAGCGUGGGGAGCAAACAGGAUUAGAUACCCGCGUAGC